CAUUUCCAGUCCCCGAGGGUCUUGUUUUGUCCAGCCCAGGCCAAGAGGGAAGCUGUGCAUCUGCCCGGUGCAACCUCACACAGCAGUCCAGGCAGGGGCACCCUACACCCACACACCCCUGACAUCACCCUGGCCGCGGGUUCAAGGCAACUGACAUCUCUCCUGGAUCCCGAAAAGCAGGAGGUGGGAGGUCUGACCUGGGCCCUCUGCUUGGCUAUUUCCCCAGACACCAAACUCGGGCCUGAGGCCUUCUGGUUUAACUCCGGCAGAGAGGCCGUGGCCACCCAGCUGAGCGAGAGCUACUACAUCCUCCGGCCAGAGGUGGUGGAGAGCUACAUGUACCUGUGGCGACAGACCCACAACCCCAUCUACAGGGAGUGGGGCUGGGAGGUGGUGCUGGCCUUGGAGAAAUACUGUCGGACAGAAGCCGGUUUCUCCGGGAUCCAAGACGUGUACAGUAGCAACCCCAACCAUGACAACAAGCAGCAGAGCUUCUUUCUAGCGGAGACACUAAAGUAUCUCUAUCUUCUGUUCUCUGAAGAUGACUUGCUCUCCCUGGAAGACUGGGUGUUCAACACUGAGGCCCACCCGCUCCCGGUGAACCACUCAGACAGCUCCAGCAGGGCCUGGGGCAGAUACUGACCCCAUCUCCCGCCGCCGCCCUGGGGCCGCCGCAGGGAUGCCUUGCCUUUUCAGGAUUUGGGACUGUUCUCAAAGGGAUUGGGAACGAAGGCCCCAUCUCGGGCAGACCCCCAGCAGAUGUGUCGGACAAGCAACUUCUUUUCCUCUGUGAGGAGACAAGACUUGGAGACGCAGCGAUGUCAGGCCAGGGCCAUGGCCACACUGGCCCACACAUUCCUUUCUACAGAGAAUUUCUAUGAAGCCCACUCACUUGCCAUUCCAGGGCCAAAAGACCGGAGGUUUGCAUAUCCGCCCCUUGUAUUUGAUUUUCUUCCUUUUGGUUUCUCGGUUUUUGUUUUUGCUUGAUUUUGUCUUUUCUCUACAGUUUAGUUUUAUCACAAUUAUACAUAUAGUUUUCAAAAUCAUGCACUUUCUAAAAUGGCGUCAUCCUGAUAAACAAAACCGAGUGUUUGCACACACACAAAAUCUUGACCCCGUUAUCUAUAUUUUAAAUGCUUUUUGCC
rnacentral:sRNA from 1 species